rnacentral:rRNA from 1 species
AACGAACGCUGGCGGCAGGCUUAACACAUGCAAGUCGAGCGAAGACUUCGGUCUUAGCGGCGGACGGGUGAGUAACGCGUGGGAAUCUACCUAGCUCUACGGAAUAGCUCCGGGAAACUGGAAUUAAUACCGUAUACGUCCUUCGGGAGAAAGAUUUAUCGGAGUUAGAUGAGCCCGCGUUGGAUUAGCUAGUUGGUGGGGUAAUGGCCUACCAAGGCGACGAUCCAUAGCUGGUCUGAGAGGAUGAUCAGCCACACUGGGACUGAGACACGGCCCAGACUCCUACGGGAGGCAGCAGUGGGGAAUAUUGGACAAUGGGCGAAAGCCUGAUCCAGCCAUGCCGCGUGAGUGAUGAAGGCCCUAGGGUUGUAAAGCUCUUUCAACGGUGAAGAUAAUGACGGUAACCGUAGAAGAAGCCCCGGCUAACUUCGUGCCAGCAGCCGCCGUAAAAC